rnacentral:rRNA from 1 species
GACGAACGCUGGCGGCGUGCUUAACACAUGCAAGUCGAACGGUAAGGCCCUUCGGGGUACACGAGUGGCGAACGGGUGAGUAACACGUGGGUGAUCUGCCCCGCACUUCGGGAUAAGCCUGGGAAACUGGGUCUAAUACCGGAUAGGACUCCUGCCUGCAUGGGUGGGGGUGGAAAGCUUUUGCGGUGUGGGAUGGGCCCGCGGCCUAUCAGCUUGUUGGUGGGGUGAUGGCCUACCAAGGCGACGACGGGUAGCCGGCCUGAGAGGGUGACCGGCCACACUGGGACUGAGAUACGGACCAGACUCCUACGGGAGGCAGCAGUGGGGAAUAUUGCACAAUGGGCGCAAGCCUGAUGCAGCGACACCGCGUGAGGGAUGACGGCCUUCGGGUUGUAAACCUCUUUCAGCACAGACGAAGCGCAAGUGACGGUAUGUGCAGAAGAAGGACCGGCCAACUACGUGCCAGCAGCGCCGUAA